rnacentral:rRNA from 1 species
CAGCAGUGGGGAAUAUUGCACAAUGGGGGAAACCCUGAUGCAGCGACGCCGCGUGGAGGAAGAAGGUCUUCGGAUUGUAAACUCCUGUUGUUGAGGAAGAUAAUGACGGUACUCAACAAGGAAGUGACGGCUAACUACGUGCCAGCAGCCGCGGUAAAACGUAGGUCACAAGCGUUGUCCGGAAUUACUGGGUGUAAAGGGAGCGCAGGCGGGCGAUCAAGUUGGAAGUGAAAUCCAUGGGCUCAACCCAUGAACUGCUUUCAAAACUGGUCGUCUUGAGUAGUGCAGAGGUAGGCGGAAUUCCCGGUGUAGCGGUGGAAUGCGUAGAUAUCGGGAGGAACACCAGUGGCGAAGGCGGCCUACUGGGCACCAACUGACGCUGAGGCUCGAAAGUGUGGGUAGCAAACAGGAUUAGAUACCCUGGUAGUCCACACCGUAAACGAUGAUUACUAGGUGUUGGGAGAUUGACCCUCUCAGUGCCGCAGUUAACACAAUAAGUAAUCCACCUGGGGAGUACGACCGCAAGGUUGAAACUCAAAGGAAUUGACGGGGGCCCGCACAAGCAGUGGAGUAUGUGGUUUAAUUCGACGCAACGCGAAGAACCUUACCAAGUCUUGACAUCCUCUGACGAACGUAGAAAUACGUUUUCUCUUCGGAGCAGAGAGACAGGUGGUGCAUGGUUGUCGUCAGCUCGUGUCGUGAGAUGUUGGGUUAAGUCCCGCAACGAGCGCAACCCUUAUGGUCAGUUACUACGCAAGAGGACUCUGGCCAGACUGCCGUUGACAAAACGGAGGAAGGUGGGGAUGACGUCAAAUCAUCAUGCCCUUUAUGACUUGGGCUACACACGUACUACAAUGGCGUUAAACAAAGAGAAGCAAGACCGCGAGGUGGAGCAAAACUCAGAAACAACGUCCCAGUUCGGACUGCAGGCUGCAACUCGCCUGCACGAAGUCGGAAUUGCUAGUAAUCGUGGAUCAGCAUGCCACGGUGAAUACGUUCCCGGGCCUUGUACACACCGCCCGUCACACCAUGAGAGCCGGGGGGACCCGAAGUCGGUAGUCUAACCGCAAGGAGGACGCCGCCGAAGGUAAAACUGGUGAUUGGGGUGAAGUCGUAACAAGGUAGCCGUAGGAGAACCUGCGGCUG